GGCGGCCGUAACUAUAACGGUCCUAAGGUAGCGAAAUUCCUUGUCGGGUAAGUUCCGACCCGCACGAAAGGCGCAACGAUCUGGGCACUGUCUCAACGAGAGACUCGGUGAAAUUAUAGUACCUGUGAAGAUGCAGGUUACCCGCGACAGGACGGAAAGACCCCGUGGAGCUUUACUGCAACCUGAUAUGGAAUGUUUGUACCGCUUGUACAGGAUAGGUAGGAGCCGAAGAGACGUGUGCGCUAGCAUACGAGGAGGCAAUGGUGGGAUACUACCCUGGCUGUAUGACCAUUCUAACCCGCCACGCUUAGCGCGUGGGGAGACAGUGUCAGGUGGGCAGUUUGACUGGGGCGGUCGCCUCCUAAAGAGUAACGGAGGCGCCCAAAGGUUCCCUCAGAAUGGAUGGAAAUCAUUCGCAGAGUGUAAAGGCACAAGGGAGCUUGACUGCGAGACUGACAAGUCGAGCAGGGACGAAAGUCGGGCUUAGUGAUCCGGUGGUUCCGCAUGGAAGGGCCAUCGCUCAACGGAUAAAAGCUACCCCGGGGAUAACAGGCUUAUCUCCCCCAAGAGUCCACAUCGACGGGGAGGUUUGGCACCUCGAUGUCGGCUCGUCGCAUCCUGGGGCUGUAGUCGGUCCCAAGGGUUGGGCUGUUCGCCCAUUAAAGCGGCACGCGAGCUGGGUUCAGAACGUCGUGAGACAGUUCGGUCCCUAUCCGUCGCGGGCGCAGGAAAUUUGAGAGGAGCUGUCCUUAGUACGAGAGGACCGGGAUGGACACACCGCUGGUGUACCAGUUGUUCCGCCAGGAGCAUCGCUGGGUAGCUAUGUGUGGCAGGGAUAAACGCUGAAAGCAUCUAAGCGUGAAGCCCCCCUCAAGAUGAGAUUUCCCAUUUCUUCGGAAAGUAAGAUCCCUGAAAGAUGAUCAGGUAGAUAGGUUUGGAGUGGAAGUGUAGCGAUACAUGGAGCGGACAAAUACUAAUCGAUCGAGGACUUAACCAA
rnacentral:rRNA from 1 species